rnacentral:rRNA from 1 species
AAAAAUUAGCGGAUGACUUGUGGCUGGGGGUGAAAGGCCAAUCAAACCGGGAGAUAGCUGGUUCUCCCCGAAAGCUAUUUAGGUAGCGCCUCGUGAAUUCAUCUCCGGGGGUAGAGCACUGUUUCGGCAAGGGGGUCAUCCCGACUUACCAACCCGAUGCAAACUGCGAAUACCGGAGAAUGUUAUCACGGGAGACACACGGCGGGUGCUAACGUCCGUCGUGAAGAGGGAAACAACCCAGACCGCCAGCUAAGGUCCCAAAGUCAUGGUUAAGUGGGAAACGAUGUGGGAAGGCCCAGACAGCCAGGAUGUUGGCUUAGAAGCAGCCAUCAUUUAAAGAAAGCGUAAUAGCUCACUGGUCGAGUCGGCCUGCGCGGAAGAUGUAACGGGGCUAAACCAUGCACCGAAGCUGCGGCAGCGACGCUUAUGCGUUGUUGGGUAGGGGAGCGUUCUGUAAGCCUGUGAAGGUGUGCUGUGAGGCAUGCUGGAGGUAUCAGAAGUGCGAAUGCUGACAUAAGUAACGAUAAAGCGGGUGAAAAGCCCGCUCGCCGGAAGACCAAGGGUUCCUGUCCAACGUUAAUCGGGGCAGGGUGAGUCGACCCCUAAGGCGAGGCCGAAAGGCGUAGUCGAUGGGAAACAGGUUAAUAUUCCUGUACUUGGUGUUACUGCGAAGGGGGGACGGAGAAGGCUAUGUUGGCCGGGCGACGGUUGUCCCGGUUUAAGCGUGUAGGCUGGUUUUCCAGGCAAAUCCGGAAAAUCAAGGCUGAGGCGUGAUGACGAGGCACUACGGUGCUGAAGCAACAAAUGCCCUGCUUCCAGGAAAAGCCUCUAAGCAUCAGGUAACAUCAAAUCGUACCCCAAACCGACACAGGUGGUCAGGUAGAGAAUACCAAGGCGCUUGAGAGAACUCGGGUGAAGGAACUAGGCAAAAUGGUGCCGUAACUUCGGGAGAAGGCACGCUGAUAUGUAGGUGAAGUCCCUCGCGGAUGGAGCUGAAAUCAGUCGAAGAUACCAGCUGGCUGCAACUGUUUAUUAAAAACACAGCACUGUGCAAACACGAAAGUGGACGUAUACGGUGUGACGCCUGCCCGGUGCCGGAAGGUUAAUUGAUGGGGUCAGCGCAAGCGAAGCUCUUGAUCGAAGCCCCGGUAAACGGCGGCCGUAACUAUAACGGUCCUAAGGUAGCGAAAUUCCUUGUCGGGUAAGUUCCGACCUGCACGAAUGGCGUAAUGAUGGCCAGGCUGUCUCCACCCGAGACUCAGUGAAAUUGAACUCGCUGUGAAGAUGCAGUGUACCCGCGGCAAGACGGAAAGACCCCGUGAACCUUUACUAUAGCUUGACACUGAACAUUGAGCCUUGAUGUGUAGGAUAGGUGGGAGGCUUAGAAGUGUGGACGCCAGUCUGCAUGGAGCCGACCUUGAAAUACCACCCUUUAAUGUUUGAUGUUCUAACGUUGACCCGUAAUCCGGGUUGCGGACAGUGUCUGGUGGGUAGUUUGACUGGGGCGGUCUCCUCCUAAAGAGUAACGGAGGAGCACGAAGGUUGGCUAAUCCUGGUCGGACAUCAGGAGGUUAGUGCAAUGGCAUAAGCCAGCUUGACUGCGAGCGUGACGGCGCGAGCAGGUGCGAAAGCAGGUCAUAGUGAUCCGGUGGUUCUGAAUGGAAGGGCCAUCGCUCAACGGAUAAAAGGUACUCCGGGGAUAACAGGCUGAUACCGCCCAAGAGUUCAUAUCGACGGCGGUGUUUGGCACCUCGAUGUCGGCUCAUCACAUCCUGGGGCUGAAGUAGGUCCCAAGGGUAUGGCUGUUCGCCAUUUAAAGUGGUACGCGAGCUGGGUUUAGAACGUCGUGAGACAGUUCGGUCCCUAUCUGCCGUGGGCGCUGGAGAACUGAGGGGGGCUGCUCCUAGUACGAGAGGACCGGAGUGGACGCAUCACUGGUGUUCGGGUUGUCAUGCCAAUGGCAUUGCCCGGUAGCUAAAUGCGGAAGAGAUAAGUGCUGAAAGCAUCUAAGCACGAAACUUGCCCCGAGAUGAGUUCUCCCUGACUCCUUGAGAGUCCUGAAGGAACGUUGAAGACGACGACGUUGAUAGGCCGGGUGUGUAAGCGCAGCGAUGCGUUGAGCUAACCGGUACUAAUGAACCGUGAGGCUUAACCUUACAACGCCGAAGCUGUU